CAGCUCUCCGAGUGGUAGGGACGAUUAUUGGGCUUAAAGCGUCCGUAGCCGGCCUGGCAAGUCUUCCGUUAACUCCAACGAUUCAAUCGUUGGACUGCGGGAGAUACUGUCAGGCUAGGGGACGGGAGAGGCCGACGGUAUUCCCGGGGUAGGGGUAAAAUCCUAUAAUCCCGGGAAGACCACCAGUGGCGAAGGCGGUCGGCUAGAACGCGCCCGACGGUGAGGGACGAAAGCUGGGGGAGCGAACCGGAUUAGAUACCCGGGUAGUCCCAGCUGUAAACGAUGCGGGCUAGGUGUUGGAGCGGCUACGAGCCGCUUCAGUGCCGCAGGGAAACCAUUAAGCCCGCCGCCUGGGGAGUACGGCCGCAAGGCUGAAACUUAAAGGAAUUGGCGGGGGAGCACCACAAGGGGUGAAGCUUGCGGUUUAAUUGGAGUCAACGCCGGGAAACUUACCGGGGGCGACAGCAGGAUGAAGGCCAGAUUGAAGGUCUUGCUGGACGAGCUGAGAGGAGGUGCAUGGCCGUCGCCAGUUCGUGCCGUGAGGUGUCCUGUUAAGUCAGGCAACGAUCGAGACCCACGCCCCCUGUUGCCACCGAGGAGGUUUCUCCAAGGGGCACUCUGGGGGGACCGCCGCCGACAAGGCGGAGGAAGGAGUGGGCCACGGCAGGUCAGUAUGCCCCGAAUCCCCCGGGCCACACGCGAGCUGCAAUGGCUGGGACAGAGGGUUCCGACCCCGAGAGGGGAAGGUAAUCCCUAAACCCAGCCGUAGUUGGGAUCGAGGGCUGAAACUCGCCCUCGUGAACAUGGAAUCCCUAGUAAUCGCGCGUCAUCAUCGCGCGGUGAAUACGUCCCUGCUCCUU
rnacentral:rRNA from 1 species